rnacentral:rRNA from 1 species
UACGUAGGGGGCAAGCGUUGUCCGGAAUCAUUGGGCGUAAAGCGCGCGCAGGUGGUUUCUUAAGUCUGAUGUGAAAGCCCACGGCUCAACCGUGGAGGGUCAUUGGAAACUGGGGAACUUGAGUGCAGGAGAGAAGAGUGGAAUUCCACGUGUAGCGGUGAAAUGCGUAGAGAUGUGGAGGAACACCAGUGGCGAAGGCGACGCUUUGGCCUGUAACUGACGCUGAGGCGCGAAAGCGUGGGGAGCAAACAGG